GAGAAGUGGCAGCAAGCAGUCGAGCUAUGAAGUGCAGAAACUAGAGCUUGAAAUUGCCUAACUACUUGUUAUGUUUUGAUUGUAUUUUUAAUUAUUAUUUUGUAAUCUAGUUCAUGUUGAACUAAGUUGGUAAACCUUAUGAUGUUUUUUUUGUUGAUUGAUUGACUGAAAAAUCAGCAAAGAAACUUAAGCAAGCUGAUUAACAAUUUCCAAUGUAAAUUUAGUGGUGUUAGGUAUGUCAUUAGGUAAAGACUUGUUCAUUUUGUUGUUGUUAUCUAUUAUAUGUAAUGGCAUGAUGCCUUCUGGAUUUGUUAAUGAAAAUAUCAUCUCUUUUCAUUCAAAAUACUCUCUCUCAAUUUCUUUUGUUUUCCAUUCGUAUGUGUUUCUGUUCUUGCUUCUGAGUUUGUUUCUUCAACAAGGCUCGAGGCUUGCUAUACAAGCAAGAUUGAAAACAGUCUGUUGUUGUCUCUUUGCACCAACAAUUGGUAUCUAGAGCUUCAUUCUUAGUGGACCUGUUUUAUCAAACUAAGAAAGCUGAAUGUCUUCCUCAAGUUUUUCACCAGCAGCCCCACCAGUCUUCAAUGGAGAAGGCUUCCACAUAUGGCUGGUCAAGAUGAAGACUUACCUACAGGCCUUUGAUCUGUGGGAAGUUGUCAACACAGAUGCUGAGCCAGCACCACUGAGGGCCAAUCCCACAGUAGCUCAGAUUAGGCAACAUGCUGAUGAGAGGACCAAAAGGCACAAAGCCAUGUCCUGCAUUCAGAAUUGUGUGUCAGAUGUCAUCUUCACCAGAAUUAUGGCCUGUGAGACUCCAAAACAGGCAUGGGAUAAGCUUAAGGAGGAGUUUCAAGGCACUGAGAGAACAAGGCAACAACAGCUAUUGAAUUUGAGAAGGGAUUUUGAGAACCUGAAGAUGAAGGAAGAAGAAACAGUGAAGCAGUAUGCAGAUAGAAUCAUGGCAGUGGUUAACAGUAUAAGGCUCCUUGGUGAGCACUUUGAUGAGGCAAGGAUAGUAGAGAAAGUUCUCUCCACUUUGCCUGAGAGAUAUGAGGCCAAGAUAUCCUCUCUUGAGGACUCAAGAGACCUUGCUACCAUCUCUUUGACUGAGCUAAUCAACACUUUCUAUGCUUAGGAACAAAGGAGAGCUAGCAGAGCUGAAGACCACCAGGAAGGUGCAUUCAAUGCCAAGGCCAGAGAAGCCUCGUGCAAUUAUGCUCCAAGAGGUAAAAAGCCUUGGAAAAGUAGGCCUAAGCUUGAUACUGCAAGGAGCAAUGACCAGCCCUGCAGACAUUGCAAGAGGCCAGGUCAUCCAGAAGACAGAUGCUGGUUCAGGCCAGAUGCAGUAUGCCAACACUACAAGAAGAAAGGCCAUGUUGAAAGGGUUUGCAAAAAUAGAACCAAGUCAAGGCAGAGUCAAUUUCAACAACCAAAGGUUGAAGCUCGAGUAGCUGAGGACAGUAGUGAUCAAGAAGAGCAGGUCUUUGCUGUUUCUUGCUUAGCUGCUGAGAAGAAAUGCUCAAAAGGCUGGUUAUUGGAUAGUGGUUGCACUAACCACAUGUCACCAGAUGCCUCCUUAUUUAAAACCUUGGAUAGAAGUUGCAAAACCAAGGUCAAGGUUGGAAAUGGUCAGUUCAUAAGGGCUAAAGGAAGAGGAGAGGUGCUGAUAUGUACCCCCACAGGCAACAAGAUCAUUCCAAAUGUGCUGUUAGUGCCAGAAAUCGACAGAAACCUUCUCAGCAUAGCUCAAUUGCUCGAGAAAGGCUAUUCUGUUGUGUUCAAGAACAAACAGUGCCACAUUGCUGAUCCAAGUGGAUCAAGCCUUAUGACAAUCACAAUGACUGACAAAUGCUUUGAGGUACACUGGCCAAAUGACUCAAAGUCUGCAUAUACAGCCUCUGUUGAUGAUUCCAAGCUUUGGCAUCAAAGGCUUGGGCAUGCCAACUUCAGAUCAUUGGCUCGAAUGGCCAAAGAAGGCUUGGCAGAGAACUUUACUAGCUCAGUGGAGCAUGAUGAUGUGUGUGAAGUUUGCCAGAUGGGGAAACAGGCAAGACUGCCAUUUCCUACAAAUUCAGCUUGGAGAGCUACUGAAAAACUGUAACUGGUGCACUCUGAUGUAUGUGGCCCGAUGAGGACUGAAUCACUCAGCAAAAAUAGGUAUUUCAUCCUCUUCAUUGAUGAUUUUACAAGGUUUUGCUGGAUUUUCUUCUUAAAACACAAGUCUGAGGUAGCUCAAGUGUUUGUGAAGUUUAAAACUGCUGUAGAGACAGAAACAGGUUGCAAGCUGAAAUCAAUAAGGUCAGACAAUGGCACUGAGUACACUUCAGCUCAGUUUCAAGCCAUUUGCAAUGAUGCUGGUAUCAAACACCAGCUUACAAAUGUCUACACACCUCAGCAGAAUGGGAUAUCAGAAAGAAAGAACAGAAGCUUGAUGGAUAUGGCCAGGUGCCUGCUGUUUGAGAAGAAACUGCCCAAGACCAUGUGGGCUGAGGCAGUAAACACUGCUGUCUACCUUCAAAAUAGGCUUCUUACCAAAGCUCUUGCAUCCAAAACACCUUUCGAGGCUUGGUCUGGUUUCAAGCCUUCCUUGGCACAUCUGAAGGUGUUUGGUUGCCUGUGUUAUGCACAAAUACUAGCAGCAAAGAGAGACAAGCUCUCUGAAAGGGCUCAACCAGGUGUUCUAGUAGGCUAUAGCUCAGUUAAGAAGGGCUACAGGGUGCUGGAUCCUUUGACAAACAUAGUUCAAGUAAGCAGAGAUGUCAUCUUCGAUGAGAAUGCUUGCUGGAAUUGGGAAAAGAAUGAACCAGAAGCUGCUUCAGAAGACCUGGUGCCUAAUCAAGCUGAACUUGAGCAGCUAGGACCUGAAAUGGAUGUUGAUGAUGUACCUGUGAGAGGCACAAGGCCCCUAGAUGAUAUUUAUGAAAGGGCACAGGUUGCAAUAGCAGAACCUAGCAGUUUUGAAGAGGCUGAGGCAGAUGAAGGCUGGAAACAAGCUAUGGUUGAUGAAAUCAACAUGAUUGAGAAGAACCAGACAUGGGAGCUAGUUGAUAAACCUACUGGAAAGAAGACCAUUGGAGUAAAAUGGGUCUAUCGAGCAAAACAGAAUGCAGAUGGCAGUCUGAACAAGCUAAAAGCCAGGCUUGUUGUCAAAGGUUUUAGCCAAAGGUAUGGUCUGGACUAUCUGGAGACAUUUUCACCAGUAGCCAGGCUUGACACAGUUAGAAUGAUAGUUGCCUUGGCUGCUCAACAUCAGUGGACCAUUCAUCAGCUUGAUGUUAAGUCUGCAUUUCUCAAUGGUUUCCUGGAAGAAGAGAUCUACAUCGAACAGCCUCAAGGAUUUGUGGUCACUGGCAAAGAACACAAGGUGUACAGACUGAAAAAGGCUUUGUAUGGCCUGAAACAGGCUCCUCGAGCCUGGUAUGCUCGAAUUGAUUCUUACUUACUCAGUUUGGAAUUCGAGAGAAGUCUUAGUGAACUAACACUGUAUGUGAAGAAGAACCAAGCUGAAACUCAGCUUAUCCUGUCACUCUAUGUUGAUGAUUUAUUGGUGACUGGAGGAGAUAGAAGAAUGCUGGAAGAUUUCAAAAGAAAAAUGAUGGAAAUGUUUGAAAUGUCUGAUUUAGGCAGAAUAAACUACUUCCUUGGAAUGGAAGUGAAGCAAACAGCAAAGGGAAUCUUUCUUAGUCAGAGUUCUUUUACUAUGAAGAUCCUGGAUAAGUUCUUUAUGAAGAACUGCAAGCCAACAAGCACACCAAUGGCUGUUGGAGUGAAGCUUUCGAGGCAAGAGAGUGGUGAACCAAUUUGCGAGACUAUGUACAAAAGUCUCAUUGGUAGUCUGUUGUAUUUGACUGCAACAAGACCCGAUAUCAUGUUUGUUGUUAGUGUGCUAUCCAGAUACAUGAAUUGCUGCAAUGAUCAGCACUUUCAAGCAGCUAAAAGAGUGCUUAGAUACAUCAAAGGCACCAUUGAUCAUGGUGUAUUGUUCAAAAGGGCUGAAAAUAUGAAGCUGAUAGGCUAUGUUGAUAGUGACUGGGCUGGAUCUUGUGAUGACAUGAGAAGCACAUCUGGAUAUGCCUUUAGUCUUGGCUCAGGCAUGUUUUGCUGGAGUUCUAAAAAGCAAAGUCUGGUAACACAGUCAACAGCAGAAGCUGAAUAUGUCGCUGCUGCAUCUGCUGUAAAUCAAGCCAUAUGGCUUAGAAAAAUCCUAGCUGAUUUAAAUCAAAAUCAAGGAAAGGCAACAGAGAUUUACUAUGACAACAAAUCUGCUGUUGCAAUUGCAAAGAAUCCUAUCUUUCAUGGUAGAACAAAGCACUUCAACAUCAAGCUACAUGUCAUAAGGGAGAUGGAGCAAGCUCAUGAAAUCGAGCUGGUUCAUUGCAAUUCAGAAGAGCAAAUUGCUGAUAUCUUUACAAAGGCACUCAAUGUGUCUAAAUUUGUUAAAUUAAGAAGGCAAUUAGGUGUCACUAGCAUGGAAACUAAGGAGGAGUGUUGAAUUUAGUUCCCAUGCAAGACAUGCAAAGGUGGCCAUGCAAGGAGAAGUGGCAGCAAGCAGUCAAGCUAUGAAGUGCAGAAACUGGAGCUUGAAAUUGCCUAACUACUUGUUAUGUUUUGAUUGUAUUUUUAAUUAUUAUUUUGUAAUCUAGUUCAUGUUGAACUAAGUUGGUAAACCUUAUGAUGUUUUUUUUUGUUGAUUGAUUGACUGAAAAAUUAGCAAAGAAACUUAAGCAAGCUGAUUAACAAUUUCCAAUGUAAAUUUAGUGGUGUUAGGUAUGUCAUUAGGUAAAGACUUGUUCAUUUUGUUGUUGUUAUCUAUUAUAUGUAAUGGCAUUAUGCCUUCUGGAUUUGUUAAUGAAAAUAUCAGCU
rnacentral:lncRNA from 1 species